GAUGAACGCUGGCGGCGUGCCUAAUACAUGCAAGUCGAGCGAACGGACGAGAAGCUUGCUCCCCUGCUGUUAGCGGCGGGCGGGCGAGUAACACGUGGAUCACCUUCCACUUAUACUUGGAUAACUUCGGGAAACCGGUGCUACUACCGGAUCAUACUUUCUACCGGUUGGUUCAAAAGUGAUUGACGGCCUUGCUGUCUCUUAUAGAUGGUUCCGCGCUGCAUUAGCUAGUUGGUAAGGUAACGGCCUACCAAGGCAACGAUGCAUAGCUGACCUGAGAGGAUGAUCGGCCACACUGGAACUGAGACACGGUCCAGACUCCUACGGGAGGCAGCAGUAGGGAAUCUUCCGCAAUGGGCGAAAGCCUGACGGAGCAACGCCGCGUGAGUGAUGAAGGUCUUCGGAUCGUAAAACUCUGUUAUUAGGAAAGAACAGAUGUGUAAGUAACUGUGCACGUCUUGACGGUACCUAAUCAGAAAGCCACGGCUAACUACGUG
rnacentral:rRNA from 1 species